UCGAGGCUUUCUCCUAAGUCAUUAAUUGAACACGUAAACAAGGAUUCCAUCAUUAAUUAGGAAAUCACUUUCUUGACAAAAAGGAAUUUUAGAAAUUGCACAAGCAAUUCACAUAGUUUGCUGAAAAUAAACUUACCGACAACAGUAACAGGAAAAUAGCACAAAUCUGAGCAGACAUUAUGAAGCAAAAAUGAAUGAAAUCAACAACCCG
rnacentral:lncRNA from 1 species